UCGGAUUAGCUAGUUGGUGGGGUAAAGGCCUACCAAGGCGACGAUCCGUAACUGGUCUGAGAGGAUGAUCACCCACACUGGAACUGAGACACGGUCCAGACUCCUACGGGAGGCAGCAGUGGGGAAUAUUGGACAAUGGGCGAAAGCCUGAUCCAGCCAUGCCGCGUGUGUGAAGAAGGUCUUCGGAUUGUAAAGCACUUUUAUUUGGGAGGAAAGGCAGUAAGUUAAUACCUUGCUGUUUUGA
rnacentral:rRNA from 1 species